rnacentral:misc_RNA from 1 species
UGUUCGCCGGCGCGCCGAUCGUGUUCGGCGUCGGCACCAUCGGCGUUCUCUACACCAUGGCGAGCUGGUGGGCCGACGUGAUCCGCGAGGCGCAGUACAAGGGUGACCACACCCGCGUCGUGCAGUUGCAUCAUCGCUACGGCAUGAUCCUGUUCAUCGCCUCCGAAGUGAUGUUCUUCGUGGCGUGGUUCUGGGCCUAUUUCAACGCCGCGCUGUUCCCGGCCGAUCCGGUUCACGUCACGCGCGACGCUCUGUUCGGCGGUGUCUGGCCGCCGAAGGGCAUCGAGACCUUNCGAUCCGUGGCACUUGCCGCUGCUCAACACGCUGAUCCUGCUGACCUCGGGCACCACGGUGACCUGGGCGCACCACGCGCUGCUCGAAGGCGACCGCAAGGGCCUGAAGUGGGGAUUGAUCCUGACCGUGCUGCUCGGUGCGCUGUUCCCCUGCGUGCAGGCCUAUGAGUACAGCCAUGCGCAGUUCAGCUUCGCGGGUAACGUCUACGGCGCGACCUUCUUCAUGGCCACGGGCUUC